rnacentral:rRNA from 1 species
GACGAACGCUGGCGGCGCGCUUAACACAUGCAAGUCGAACGGAAAGGCCCUGCUUUUGUGGGGUGCUCGAGUGGCGAACGGGUGAGUAACACGUGAGUAACCUGCCCUUGACUUUGGGAUAACUUCAGGAAACUGGGGCUAAUACCGGAUAGGAGCUCCUGCUGCAUGGUGGGGGAUGGAAAGUUUCGGCGGUUGGGGAUGGACUCGCGGCUUAUCAGCUUGUUGGUGGGGUAGUGGCUUACAAAGGCUUUGACGGGUAGCCGGCCUGGGAGGGUGACCGGCCACAUUGGGACUGAGAUACGGCCCAGACGCCUACGGGAGGCAGCAGUGGAGAAUAUUGCACAAUGGGCGGAAGCCUGAUGCAGCAACGCCGCGUGCGGGAUGACGGCCUUCGGGGUGUAAACCGCUGUCGCCUGUGACGAAGCGUGAGUGACGGUAAUGGGUAAAGAAGCACCGGCUAACUACGUG